rnacentral:lncRNA from 1 species
AGACCGGCGUUCUCCACCAAGUAAUAAAAGUCUUCAUAAAGCCCAGCGGCGCGCAAAAAUUCAUCACUUGGCCACUCGCACACUCGAACUUCUGUGACUCGAGGGACUACGUACUUGGGGUGGUUCUUCUCAUCCUCCUUGGGGUUACGGCUUGAAGAGCCUCUCAAGAACCUCCUCAUCUUUUCCUAUUUCUAGCUCU